AGCUUUGCGCAGUGGCAGUAUCAUAGCCAAUGAGGUUUAUCCGAGGCGCGAUUAUUGCUAAUUGAAAAAAAAAAAAAUCUAGCCAGCUCCCUGUUUUUGCAUGGCCCCCUCGCUAAGAAUGGUUUUUGUGGUUUUCUGUGGUUAGG